rnacentral:RNase_P_RNA from 2 species
GUCACCGGCCGGAUGGUCGCGAAACAGGGGAACGAGCCUUCAUGGCCACGCCCGUGUUCCGAGGAAAGUCCGGGCUCCAUAGGGCAGAUCGCCAGGUAACGCCUGGGCGCAUACGGCGUGAGCUGCAUGCGACGGACAGUGCAACAGAAAGCAAACCGCCGUCUUCGCGAGAAGGCGGUAAGGGUGAAAGGGUGGGGUAAGAGCCCACCGCGCGUCCGGCAACGGGCGUGGCUCGGUAAACCCCGGUCGGAGCAAGGCCAAAUAGGCGGUGAGAGACGGCCCGUCUCGACAGGAUGCUUUCGGGCAUCGAGCCGCGGGUAGGCUGCUGGAGCGUGUUGGUGACGACACGCCGAGAGGAAUGACCAUCCGGUGCACCUCGGUGUACCGACAGAACCCGGCUUACAGGCCGGUGACAUCC